CACAAGCGGUGGAGCAUGUGGUUUAAUUCGAUGAUACGCGAGGAACCUUACCUGGGCUUAAAUGUAGAGUGCAUUUUUUAGAGAUAGAAAUUCCCUUCGGGGCUUUCUGCAAGGUGCUGCAUGGUUGUCGUCAGCUCGUGCCGUGAGGUGUCGGGUUAAGUCCCAUAACGAGCGCAACCCUUAUCGUUAGUUGCCAUCUGGUAAUGCAGGGGACUCUAGCGAAACUGCCACCGUAAGGUGAGAGGAAGUGGGGAUGACGUCAAAUCAGCACGGCCCUUAUGUCCAGGGCUACACACGUGUUACAAUGGUCGGUACAGAGGGCAGCUACCUGGUGACAGGAUGCUAAUCUCGAAAACCGGUCUCAGUUCGGAUCGAAGUCUGCAACUCGACUUCGUGAAGCUGGAUUCGCUAGUAAUCGCGCAUCAGCUAUGGCGCGGUGAAUACGUUCCCGGGCCUU
rnacentral:rRNA from 1 species